AUUGAACGCUGGCGGCAUGCCUUACACAUGCAAGUCGAACGGCAGCACGGGAGCAAUCCUGGUGGCGAGUGGCGAACGGGUGAGUAAUAUAUCGGAACGUGCCCAGUCGUGGGGGAUAACGCAGCGAAAGCUGUGCUAAUACCGCAUACGAUCACUGGAUGAAAGCGGGGCACCGUAAGGCCUCGCGCGAUUGGAGCGGCGGAUAUCAGAUUAGCUAGGUGGUGGGGUAAAGGCCCACCAAGGCGACGAUCUGUAGCUGGUCUGAGAGGACGACCAGCCACACUGGAACUGAGACACGGUCCAGACUCCGACGGGAGGCAGCAGUGGGGAAUUUUGGACAAUGGGCGCAAGCCUGAUCCAGCAAUGCCGCGUGCAGGAUGAAGGCCUUCGGGUUGUAAACUGCUUUUGUACGGAGCGAAACGGUUCUCUCUAAUACAGGGGGCUAAUGACGGUACCGUAAGAAUAAGCACCGGCUAACUACGUGCCAGCCGCCGCAGUAAAAC
rnacentral:rRNA from 1 species